GUGAGACCAAAAUAUUAAUUGGCAACCAUAGGUAGUCACACACAUCAAAACAUGGUUCCUGCCGACAGAGUCUGUAUAGUUAUCAGAUUUUCUGUGCGAUGGCUCCAUACAUG